rnacentral:piRNA from 1 species
UGACUUCAUAAACCAGAGGGGAAGG